GACGAACCGUGCGAACGUUAUUCGGAAUCACUGGGCUUAAAGGGCGCGUAGGCGGACUCCCAAGUCUGCGGUGAAAGCCUCCAGCUUAACUGGAGAAGUGCCGUGGAUACUGGGAGUCUCGAGGAGGGUAGGGGCAUCUGGAACGUGGGUGGAGCGGUGAAAUGCGUUGAUAUCCAACGGAACUCCGGUGGCGAAGGCGGGUCUCUGGGCAGUAACUGACGCUGAGGAGCGAAAGCGUGGGGAGCGAACAGG
rnacentral:rRNA from 1 species